rnacentral:rRNA from 1 species
UACAGAGGGUGCAAGCGUUGUUCGGAAUUAUUGGGCGUAAAGGGAGUGUAGGCGGUUGCCUAAGUCUUCUGUGAAAUCUACGGGCUUAGCCUGUAACGUGCAGAGGAAACUGGGUGACUUGAGUGUCGGAGAGGAUAGGGGAAUACCCGGUGUAGAGGUGAAAUUCGUAGAUAUCGGGAGGAACACCAGUGGCGAAGGCGGCGAUCUGGGAAGAUACUGACGCUGAGGUGCGAAAGCGUGGGGAGCAAACAGG